rnacentral:misc_RNA from 1 species
AAUACAUAUAUCAACCUUCUCAUUGUGGAAUGGUUUGGAUGUGGGGGUUUUCUUGCUGGAACCUUUCAAAGAGUCCAGCUCCCCUUAAAUGCAUUAGCAGAACAAACCUGUUCAUUGGCGUGAUAACUAUCUAUGCUAAUUGAAUAUGAAGGGCAGUUCAGCUUUCUAGCAGUCCUUUGGACAACUCAUCAUUA